GAGUUUGAUCGUGGCUCAGAACGAACGCUGGCGGCAGGCUUAACACAUGCAAGUCGAACGGGAAGUUUUGUAGCAAUACAGAGCUUUUAGUGGCGAACGGGUGAGUAACACGUAGGUAACCUGCCCCUGAGACCGGAAUAACAUGCCGAAAGGCGUGCUAAUGCCGGAUGUGACCCCGGCUCGGCAUCGAGCAGAGGUAAAAGGACUGGGAGCAAUCCUAGCGCUGAGGGAUGGGCCUGCGGGCUAUCAGCUAGUUGGUGAGGUAACGGCUCACCAAGGCUAUGACGGCUAGCCGGCUUGAGAGAGUGAACGGCCACACUGGAACUGAGACACGGUCCAGACUCCUACGGGAGGCAGCAGUAGGGAAUCUUCCGCAAUGGGCGAAAGCCUGACGGAGCAAUGCCGCGUGAACGAUGAAGGCC
rnacentral:rRNA from 1 species